GGGCGGGUAGCUCAGCGGUAGAGCGCAGGCUUUACAAGCCGGUUGUCGCAGGUUCAAUCACUGUCCCGCCCACCA
rnacentral:tRNA from 1 species